CCUACGGGGGGCAGCAGUGAGGAAUAUUGGUCACUGGUCGGGAGACUGAACCAGCCAAGCCGCGUGAGGGAUGACGGUACAGAGUAUCGUAAACCUCUUUUGUCAGGGAACAAAGGAGGGGACGUGUCCCCGGAUGAGUGUACCUGAAGAAAAAGCAUCGGCUAACUCCGUGCCAGCAGCCGCGGUAAUACGGAGGAUGCGAGCGUUAUCCGGCUUUAUUGGGUUUAAAGGGUGCGCAGGCGGUCUGUUAAGUCAGCGGUAAAAGCCCGGGGCUCAACCCCGUCGCGCCGUUGAAACUGGCAGUCUCGAGUUGGAGAGAAGUAUGCGGAAUGCGCGGUGUAGCGGUGAAAUGCAUAGAUAUCGCGCAGAACUCCGAUUGCGAAGGCAGCAUGCCGGCUCCACACUGACGCUGAGGCACGAAAGCGUGGGUAUCGAACAGGAUUAGAUACCCGAGUAGUC
rnacentral:rRNA from 1 species